AACGAACGCUGGCGGCAGGCUUAACACAUGCAAGUCGACCGACGGCAGACGGGUGAGUAACGCGUGGGAAUCUACCAUUUGCUACGGAACAACAGUUGGAAACGACUGCUAAUACCGUAUGGCAAAUGAUGAGCCCGCGUUGGAUUAGCUAGUUGGUGGGGUAAAGGCCUACCAAGGCGACGAUCCAUAGCUGGUCUGAGAGGAUGAUCAGCCACACUGGGACUGAGACACGGCCCAGACUCCUACGGGAGGCAGCAGUGGGGAAUAUUGGACAAUGGGCGCAAGCCUGAUCCAGCCAUGCCGCGUGAGUGAUGAAGGCCCUAGGGUUGUAAAGCUCUUUCACCGGUGAAGCGGUAACCGGAGAAGAAGCCCCGGCUAACUUCGUGCCAGCAGCCGCGGUAAUACGAAGGGGGCUAGCGUUGUUCGGAUUUACUGGGCGUAAAGCGCACGUAGGCGGACUAAUAAGUCAGGGGUGAAAUCCCGGGGCUCAACCCCGGAACUGCCUUUGAUACUGUUAGUCUUGAGUAUGGAAGAGGUGAGUGGAAUUCCGAGUGUAGAGGUGAAAUUCGUAGAUAUUCGGAGGAACACCAGUGGCGAAAGCGGCUCACUGGUCCAUUACUGACGCUGAGGUGCGAAAGCGUGGGGAGCAAAC
rnacentral:rRNA from 1 species